UACAUAGUCUGCAAGCGUUAUUCGGAUUCACUGGGCGUAAAGGGUGCGCAGGCGGCUAAGUGCGUGAGGCGUGAAAGCCCGAAGCUUAACUUCGGAAUUGCACCUCAAACUACAUGGCUAGAGCAUUGGAGAGGGUAGCGGAAUUCACGGUGUAGCAGUGAAAUGCGUAGAUAUCGUGAGGAACACCAGAGGCGAAGGCGGCUACCUGGACAAAUGCUGACGCUGAGGCACGAAAGCGUGGGGAGCAAAAGGG
rnacentral:rRNA from 1 species